UUAUCCAUCAAUCUCUUACUUGAUUUCGUCAAUGUUCACAUAAUUGAAUUCCUUUCUACUCUAGCUACUCCUCAUCUCUUCAGACUGUCAACUACGGCUGUCAAGAGCUUUUGUGAAAUUUAAACACCUUUUCUGAAAUAUGGGAUUUUUACGAAUUUUUGCCUUCUGUGGAUUUGUUUUGUUUGCUUCUCAAAACCUGAAAGCAAGCUCCAUUCCUCUUGAAAUCAAGGAAAUCAAUUCCUGUUCUGAAUCAAAUGGGGAUCUCUGGUACAGUUUUAGUGACGGUUGCAAUCAGGCCUCCUGCCCCUGUGGAGCCGAGACGACGAAUUUAUGCUACAUUACGGAAAUGUAUUGUCCCGGCCACUGUCCUGGAGCGCUGUGGAUUAUUGAACAACAAAAAGCCGCUGAACGCUUAUGCUGUACUUAAAAAUUAAAUUGAUUUACAAACCUGCAUCACAACCGAUAAGAAAAUAAUAGUUUCAAUAACACUUGUUAUCGACAAUUCAAAUAAACCAUGUGUAUUAUAUAAAUUACAA